rnacentral:rRNA from 1 species
AGAGUUUGAUCAUGGCUCAGGACGAAUGCUUGCUGUGUGGAUAAGGCAUGCAAGUCGAGGGCCCGCUUGCGGGACCGGCGAACGAGGUAGUAACACGUAGGAUUACGUACCCUAAAGUCAGGGAUAGCUCAUCGAAAGGUGGGGUAAUACUUGAUAGUCUCUUCGGAGUAAAGAUUUAUCGCUUUAGGAACGGCCUGCGGGGUAUCAGCUAGUUGGUAGUGUAAUGGACUACCAAGGCUACGACGCCUAGGGGAGGUGAGAGCCUGACCCCCACCGAUGGGACUGAGACACGGCCCAUACUCCUACGGGAGGCCGCAGUCGAGAAUCUUCCACAAUGGACGAAAGUCUGAUGGAGCGACACAGCGUGACCGAUGAAGUUCUACAGAAUGUAAAGGUCUUUUAUAGGUGAAGAAGUUUAUUGACAUUAACCUAUGAAUAAGGGGCUGCUAAUCACGUGCCAGCAGCAGCGGUAAUACGUGAGCCCCGAGCAUUAUCCGGAAUCAUUGGGCGUAAAGGGUCCGUAGGCGGUUUAGUUAGUCUCUCGUUAAAGCACCGGGCUCAACCCGGGACAGGCGAGGGAAACGGCUAAACUAGAGAGAUUGAGAGGUGAGUGGAACUCAUGGUGUAGGGGUGAAAUCCGUUGAUAUCAUGGGGAACACCAAAAGCGAAGGCAACUCACUGGCAAUUUUCUGACGCUGAGGGACGAAACCCUGGGUAGCGAAUGGGAUUAGAUACCCCAGUAGUCCAGGGCCUAAACGAUGCACACUGGCUUUGUAGAGAUUCAACCCUCUGCGAGGCGAAGCUAACGCGUUAAAUGUGCCGCCUGGGGAGUACGGCCGCAAGGCUAAAACUCAAAGGAAUUGACGG